UUAAAAGAAAUUCAUCAAGAAAACUCAAAUUCUUGAACAAAGGCAUUUCUCUGUCUGUAUGGGUAUGCAGUUGAGAUUGAACCCUUGUUCUUCAUCUUCAGCUGCAACUUCUCCUUCAACUUUACAUAAUGGAGCACCAUAUUUCUGCAAAAAGUUUAACUUUUUACCAUUUAGAACCCAACCCCUCAAUUGGGUAUCUGGAAUUUACUCAAGAAUCCAACCAAGAGAGCAUUUUGAAGUCUUUUCCUCAAAUGGGUUUCCACUUAAUGCAGUGUCUGUGCAAGAUGAACAAGUGCCUUUGACAGAGUUAGGAAGUGGAGAGACCACUGUCAGCAUAACUGUUAUUGGAG
rnacentral:misc_RNA from 1 species